UGCUUAACACAUGCAAGUCGUACGAUGGAACCCAUAAUGCUGGGUGGAUUAGUGGCGAACGGGUGAGUAACACGUGAGCAACCUGCCCCUCACUCUGGGAUAAGCGCUGGAAACGGCGUCUAAUACUGGAUACGAGUCGCAACCGCAUGGUUAGUGACUGGAAAGAUUUUUUGGUGGGGGAUGGGCUCGCGGCCUAUCAGCUUGUUGGUGAGGUAAUGGCUCACCAAGGCGUCGACGGGUAGCCGGCCUGAGAGGGUGACCGGCCACACUGGGACUGAGACACGGCCCAGACUCCUACGGGAGGCAGCAGUGGGGAAUAUUGCACAAUGGGCGGAAGCCUGAUGCAGCAACGCCGCGUGAGGGAUGACGGCCUUCGGGUUGUAAACCUCUUUUAGCAGGGAAGAAGCGAAAGUGACGGUACCUGCAGAAAAAGCACCGGCUAACUACGUGCCAGCAGCCGCGGUAAUACGUAGGGUGCAAGCGUUAUCCGGAAUUAUUGGGCGUAAAGAGCUCGUAGGCGGUUUGUCGCGUCUGCUGUGAAAUCCCGAGGCUCAACCUCGGGCCUGCAGUGGGUACGGGCAGACUAGAGUGCGGUAGGGGAGAUUGGAAUUCCUGGUGUAGCGGUGGAAUGCGCAGAUAUCAGGAGGAACACCGAUGGCGAAGGCAGAUCUCUGGGCCGUAACUGACGCUGAGGAGCGAAAGGGUGGGGAGCAAACAGGCUUAGAUACCCUGGUAGUCCACCCCGUAAACGUUGGGAACUAGUUGUGGGGUCCUUUCCACGGAUUCCGUGACGCAGCUAACGCAUUAAGUUCCCCGCCUGGGGAGUACGGCCGCAAGGCUAAAACUCA
rnacentral:rRNA from 1 species